UCAACAAUCCUGCAGGUGAGUGAUGCUUUUUUCACAGACUUCAGAAAUGAUUAUGCUUCAAUAUCUGUCCUGGUUGGACAGUUCAGGUUAACUUCUCUAGAUCAGUGUGUGACACAGUGUGUGUUACUAAACUCACCACCAACCUCAAUGUGUCUGUGGGGACAUGAAUGUCUUUUGUGUUUCUGCAUCUUUGUGACCCAGAUUUUUUAUUUUCCAUCAGAUUCAAAUCAAGAUGCAGAAACUUUUCCCUGAACAAGUUCAAUGAAACAGAAAAGUAUGUGGGAAAGAAUCAUUUAGAAAAGACAUGGAAAUAAUGGACUUUUAAUUUCCUGCCAUGAAAUGAUCAUUUUCACUGUUAAACUCAACAGUUUGUCAUUUUUCUUUCUCCUUUAAAACCUCAGACUCAACAGAAAACCACACCACUGAGACCUGAGCUGUCAAUCAACAGCUGCAGCCUCAUCUGUGGGCCCAAGGGGCUGAUGGGAGGUCUGAGGACCCGUUAGAAACCACGUGGUCCUCGUCUGAUCUCACAGCUCGUCCUUGUUUGGCCUCAGCUGCAUCAAAGUGCCACUUCUCCCCAGGUUCACCAGAGGAAACACCACUGCACAAAAUGCUUUUUCUCCCAGCUGCUGCUCUGUGCUGUCUGUGUUCAGCACUGGUUGUCAUGGCAGCAGAGCUGAUCCAGGACCAGUUAUCUCUGACCAGGAGAGCUGGUCAAACUGUCUCAUUCAGCUGUGCAGGAACUGACAAGUGUUACAAUAAUUAUAUUUACUGGUACCAGAAGAAAGAGACAGAAACAUUCACAGUGAUUCUACGUAUUCAAAGAAAUAAUGGUGUCAUAGCUAAAGGCUACAACCAUCCUCAGAAAGAUGAUUUCUCAGCUGUGAUGAAACAGAACGGCUGUGAGCUGCAGAUUCAGAAAGUUAAUCCCUCUCAUGCAGCCACCUACUACUGCUCCUGUUGGAAGUCUGGCUCCCACAGUGAGAAAUGAUCCCUGCAGCCUGAACAAAAACCAACAGAUGUCAAACAGUGUUUGUGACAGGAAGAGAGCAGUAAACCACAGCCCAGGGUCACAUGUUUCACCUCCAUCUCAGCCACAGUCAUAAUGAUUCUGAUGACAAAAUAUCAUCUUCCUUUUAAACUCAUCUUUACUUCCAUCCAUCCAUUUUCUAUACCCGCUUUUCCUGAAAGCCAGGGUCACAGGGAUCUACUGGAGCCUAUCCCAGCUCUCUUUGGGUGAAAGGCAGGGGUCCACCCUGGACAGGUCCCCAAUCCAUCACAGGGCCACAUAGAGACAAACAACCUCACACACUCACACUCACUCCUAUGGGCAAUUUAGAGUCACCAAUCAACCUGACAUACAUGUUUUUGGCCUGUGGGAGGAAACCAGAGUACCUGGAGAAAACCCACACAAGCACAGGGAGAACAUGCAAACUCAAGCCACCAUGCUGCCCAAGUAAUCUUUACUUAAUACAGUUAAAAUAAACAACAUUCAGAACUACAACUGAUCCAAUAUUAAGAAACUGAUGUUUCAUGAGUGUCUGAACUUCAGGACAAUGUCUGAGGUUUAUUGUCCAUAUUCCAAGACCAACUGAAAACACUGCAGCACCUGGUUUGAAUCAUUUAGCAGAUUUUAA
rnacentral:lncRNA from 1 species